rnacentral:rRNA from 1 species
CAACUUGAGAGUUUGAUCCUGGCUCAGAACGAACGCUGGCGGCAGGCUUAACACAUGCAAGUCGAGCGCCCCGCAAGGGGAGCGGCAGACGGGUGAGUAACGCGUGGGAAUCUACCCAGCUCUACGGAAUAACCCAGGGAAACUUGGACUAAUACCGUAUACGUCCUUCGGGAGAAAGAUUUAUCGGAGUUGGAUGAGCCCGCGUUGGAUUAGCUAGUUGGUGGGGUAAUGGCCUACCAAGGCGACGAUCCAUAGCUGGUCUGAGAGGAUGAUCAGCCACACUGGGACUGAGACACGGCCCAGACUCCUACGGGAGGCAGCAGUGGGGAAUAUUGGACA